GAAUGACUCUCGGCAACGGAUAUCUCGGCUCUUGCAUCGAUGAAGAACGUAGCGAAAUGCGAUACUUGGUGUGAAUUGCAGAAUCCCGUGAACCAUCGAGUCUUUGAACGCAAGUUGCGCCCGAAGCCAUUAGGCUGAGGGCACGCCUGCCUGGGUGUCACAC
rnacentral:rRNA from 2 species